UAGCCUGAAGUCAGACAA
rnacentral:rRNA from 1 species